rnacentral:rRNA from 1 species
AGAUUGAACGCUGGCGGCAGGCCUAACACAUGCAAGUCGAGCGGCAGCACGGGUACUUGUACCUGGUGGCGAGCGGCGGACGGGUGAGUAAUGCCUAGGAAUCUGCCUGGUAGUGGGGGAUAACGCUCGGAAACGGACGCUAAUACCGCAUACGUCCUACGGGAGAAAGCAGGGGACCUUCGGGCCUUGCGCUAUCAGAUGAGCCUAGGUCGGAUUAGCUAGUUGGUGGGGUAAUGGCUCACCAAGGCGACGAUCGUAACUGGUCUGAGAGGAUGAUCAGUCACACUGGAACUGACGACACGGUCCA